UUUACAAAACCGUACUUCUUAUAUAUCAUAUCAUAAAAUUCUCCAUCAGUGUUCAUGUUCUCAUAUUUGUUUUAGCUUUUUUGUCUCAUGUUGAUUCAAGAGUUCCAAAGAAGUUGAGCUAACAUUAUAAAUUUGAUGGCGCUGGACUACAUUAUAAAGAUUGAAGAACACAGUGGUUUGAAUCUAGUUUGUUGAUGAGUUUACACACUUUUUGGUACUUUGACCAUAAUCUCUGAUUCACCUCAAUUCAGAAAGUUUGUUCAGAAAUGCAUGUCGCCAGUUUAUGUUAAAACGACCCUCGGGAAACAUAAAAAACAACAACAUAAAACUGGACUACAAUAAGGACCUUUGAACAAGCUUUUUGAAUUGGAGUGAUUUGUGUCGUGGAUCAGAAGUAACUAGGGAAAAAGAAGUCUUUGUCAAAUUAUUGAAAUCUGAUGAUGCCGCCGAAGAAUAUAAUGGUUUCGGUGUGCAAGGAUCUGGGUAGAAUUUUGGUGAUGCCCUGAUAUCAUGUAGGGAUAGCUAGCAUCUUGCCAUGAUGAUGAGAGUGCAGACAAUGGGAAUUUGUCACCAAUGAUAUUAAUAUUGUAAACAUCGCAAUUCUUUGUCU
rnacentral:lncRNA from 1 species